rnacentral:rRNA from 1 species
AUUGAACGCUAGCGGGAUGCCCUACACAUGCAAGUCGAACGGCAGCGCGGACUUCGGUCUGGCGGCGAGUGGCGAACGGGUGAGUAAUGUAUCGGAACGUGCCCAGUAUCGGGGGAUAACUACGCUAAAGCGUAGCUAAUAUAGCAUACGCCAUACGGGGGAAAGCAGGGGAUCGUAAGACCUUGCACUAUUUGAGCGGCCGAUAUCGGAUUAGCUAGUUGGUGAGGUAACGGCUCACCAAGGCGACGAUCCGUAGCUGGUUUGAGAGGACGACCAGCCACACUGGGACUGAGACACGGCCCAGACUCCUACGGGAGGCAGCAGUGGGGAAUUUUGGACAAUGGGCGAAAGCCUGAUCCAGCCAUGCCGCGUGUGCGAUGAAGGCCUUCGGGUUGUAAAGCACUUUUGGCAGGAAAGAAACAUCGCGUGCUAAUACCCCGUGGAACUGACGGUACCUGCAGAAUAAGCACCGGCUAACUACGUG